AACGUAGGACGCAAGCGUUAUCCGGAGUUACUGGGCGUAAAGGGCAGGCAGGCGGGUCGAUAAGUCGGAUGUGAAAUCUCCCUGGCUUAACCGGGAGAGUGCAUUUGAGACUGUCAACCUGGAGGGCAGCAGAGGAGCGUGGAAUUCCGGGUGGAGUGGUGAAAUGCGUAGAGAUCCGGAGGAAACACCAGAGGCGAAAGCGGCGCUCUGGGCUGCACCUGACGCUGAACUGCGAAAGCCAGGGGGAGCGAAACGGGG
rnacentral:rRNA from 1 species